rnacentral:rRNA from 1 species
GACGUAGGAUGCGAGCGUUGUCCGGAUUUAUUGGGCGUAAAGAGUUCGUAGGUGGUUCGUUAAGUCUGAUGUUAAAGACUGGGGCUCAACCCUGGGAGUGCAUUGGAUACUGGCGGACUGGAGUGCAGUAGAGGCAAGCGGAAUUCCAGGUGUAGCGGUGAAAUGCGUAGAUAUCUGGAAGAACACCGGUGGCGAAGGCGGCCUGCUGGGCAGUUGCUGACACUGAGGCGCGACAGCGUGGGGAGCAAACAGG